GUGAGUUUAGCCAGGUUGAAGAUGCCUUAGCUAAGGCUCUGCUAUCUACUAUAUGGACUAUCUUCCUAAAACAGAUGAGCUCAUGUUAGUACUUUUCAAAUACUUCUCUAAUGCCUGCACGAUGAAGGUUAAACUCUUCUGGGGCACUUCACACUGUUGUUUACCUCACUUUUCAGGUAAACUGAUAAACCUGAGUGCAUUCAUACCCUGGAAUACUACUCAGCAACAAAAAGAAUCAAACUACUGAUACAUGCAACAACUUGGAUGAAUCUGGAAGGCGUCAAUCAUAUUGAAUGAAACCAAGUCUCAAAAAGUUACGUAUGUAUUAUUCCAUUUAUGUGACAGUCUCCAAAA